rnacentral:rRNA from 1 species
GCAUCGAUGAAGAACGCAGCGAAAUGCGAUAACUAAUGUGAAUUGCAGAAUUCAGUGAAUCAUCGAGUCUUUGAACGCACAUUGCGCCCUCUGGUAUUCCGGAGGGCAUGCCUGUCCGAGCGUCAUUGCUGCCCUCAAGCCCGGCUUGUGUGUUGGGCCCCGUCCCCCCCGCCGGGGGGACGGGCCCGAAAGGCAGCGGCGGCACCGCGUCCGGUCCUCGAGCGUAUGGGGCUUCGUCACCCGCUCUAGUAGGCCCGGCCGGCGCCAGCCGACCCCCAACCUUUAAUUAUCUCAGGUUGACCUCGGAUCAGGUAGGGAUACCCGCUGAACUUAAGCAUAUCAAUAAGCGGAGGA